CUACGUGCCAGCAGCCGCGGUAAUACGUAGGUGGCGAGCGUUAUCCGGAAUUAUUGGGCGUAAAGGGUGCGUAGGCGGCCUGUUAAGUAAGUGGUUAAAUUGUUGGGCUCAACCCAAUCCAGCCACUUAAACUGGCAGGCUAGAGUAUUGGAGAGGCAAGUGGAAUUCCAUGUGUAGCGGUAAAAUGCGUAGAUAUAUGGAGGAACACCAGUGGCGAAGGCGGCUUGCUAGCCAAAGACUGACGCUCAUGCACGAAAGCGUGGGGAGCAAAUAGGAUUAGAUACCCUGGUAGUCCACGCUGUAAACGAUGUCGAUUUGGGGGUUGAGCUUUAAGUUUGGCGCCCGUAGCUAACGUGAUAAAUCGACCGCCUGGGGAGUACGGCCGCAAGGUUAAAACUCAAAUGAAUUGACGGGGGCCCGCACAAGCGGUGGAGCAUGUGGUUUAAUUCGAUGCAACGCGAAGAACCUUACCUACUCUUGACAUCCAGAGAACAUUC
rnacentral:rRNA from 1 species